rnacentral:rRNA from 1 species
GCGUAUUAAGCAUGCAAGUCGAAGGGAGUGUGAGACUUCGGUUUACAUGAGAGUGGCGAACGGGUGAGUAAUACGUAGGUGAUUCACCUUUGGGUGGGGAAUAGGCCCAUGGAACAUGGGGUAAUACCGCAUGAGGUCUUUCUGCUGCGAAGCGGAUGGAUAAAAGGAGCAAUUGUUCCGCCUGGGGAUGAGCCUGCGGUCCAUUAGCUAGUUGGUGUGGUAAGAGCGCACCAAGGCGACGAUGGAUAGCCGGCCUGAGAGGGUGAACGGCCACACUGGGACUGAGACACGGCCCAGACUCCUACGGGAGGCAGCAGCUAAGAAUCUUCCGCAAUGGGGGGAACCCUGACGGAGCGACGCCGCGUGGGCGAAGAAGGCCGCAAGGUUGUAAAGCCCUUUUCUUGACGAAGAAUAAGGCAAGGAGUGGAACGCCUUGCUGAUGACGUUAGUCGAGGAAGAAGCCCCGGCCAAUUACGUG